rnacentral:rRNA from 1 species
GAAAUAGAACCUGAAACCGUGUGCUUACAAGUAGUCAGAGCCCGUUAAUGGGUGAUGGCGUGCCUUUUGUAGAAUGAACCGGCGAGUUACGAUUUGAUGCAAGGUUAAGCAGUAAAUGUGGAGCCGUAGCGAAAGCGAGUCUGAAUAGGGCGUUUAGUAUUUGGUCGUAGACCCGAAACCAGGUGAUCUACCCUUGGUCAGGUUGAAGUUCAGGUAACACUGAAUGGAGGACCGAACCGACUUACGUUGAAAAGUGAGCGGAUGAACUGAGGGUAGCGGAGAAAUUCCAAUCGAACCUGGAGAUAGCUGGUUCUCUCCGAAAUAGCUUUAGGGCUAGCCUCAAGUGAUGAUUAUUGGAGGUAGAGCACUGUUUGGACGAGGGGCCCCUCUCGGGUUACCGAAUUCAGACAAACUCCGAAUGCCAAUUAAUUUAACUUGGGAGUCAGAACAUGGGUGAUAAGGUCC